rnacentral:rRNA from 1 species
AUUGAACGCUGGCGGCAGGCUUAACACAUGCAAGUCGAGCGGGGGAAGGUAGCUUGCUACCGGACCUAGCGGCGGACGGGUGAGUAAUGCUUAGGAAUCUGCCUAUUAGUGGGGGACAACAUCUCGAAAGGGAUGCUAAUACCGCAUACGUCCUACGGGAGAAAGCAGGGGAUCUUCGGACCUUGCGCUAAUAGAUGAGCCUAAGUCGGAUUAGCUAGUGGGUGGGGUAAAGGCCUACCAAGGCGACGAUCUGUAGCGGGUCUGAGAGGAUGGUCCGCCACACUGGGACUUAGACACGGCCCGGACUCCUACGGGAGGCAGCAGUGGGGAAUAUUGGGCAAUGGGGGGAACCCUGAUCCAGCCAUGCCGCGUGUGUGAAGAAGGCCUUAUGGUUGUAAAGCACUUUAAGCGAGGAGGAGGCUACUUUAGUUAAUACCUAGAGAUAGUGGGCGUUACUCGCAGAAUAAGCACCGGCUAACUCUGUGCCAGCCGCCGCCGUAA